GCUGCUUUGUGUCUUUAUUUUAGUGUUCCACAAAACCAAAAGGCCUUUAAAAACAAACAGCAGCUGGACUAAAAGCAGGAGUACGAACAGGGAACGUGCAGUGGAUCCUUCAAUAAUAAACAAUACAUUUGGUUCUUAAGGCCCUUGAGGAUGUAAAAUGCCAGUCCCCUCACCCCAAAGGAAGGCUUUAACCAGUGUUGCCAAUAAAAUGAGGCUGGAGGGCUGGGUGAGGUUUUUGGGGCUGAGCAAGUGGAGGACAGGGAGCCCCCCGUGGGUCUGCUCGGGGAGAGGUUCCACAGCUGCAGCCCCCGGACAGAGGAGCCCUGAGAAAACCCACGGCUGGGGCUGCCACAGCACCCACGGGUGGGGCUGCCACUGUCCCAAGCAUUAAGGCUUCGUCUCUGCUAAGAGCAUAACAUUAUUUAUUUUAUGAACAAUAAUAUUAUUUAUUGCUUUGGUUCUGUGCAGGUCACUCUUCCCAGCGGAGAAAAAGUCUAAAAUAUAAGUUUAUCAGUGAGGUACAGGAUCCUCUGUCCAGAGAUCCACAGAGGCACGAGGAGGAAACAAAUCAAUCCUUCAUCUUCCUCGCUCAAGAAGGCACAGGAGGCAGCAGCACUCAGAAUGAAACCACCACCAAGGCUGCCUUCACUCACAGCAGAAAGGAGAGAACGCCCUCACUGCUCAAAUAACACUAAAAUGAGACAAAAGUACCUGAAGUCUUGCAAGACUCAGCUCCUAAGGCUUGUUUGAGGUCAGGCUGCCCAUGAGGGACAGCUCUGCCAGUAAAGCUCCAGACUUUGGUAGCAGGGAUAAACAGGAAUAAAAAUGCCAUAAACAGCAUUUCUUUGAUUCUUCUAACAAAUGUUUACAUCUCUGUGCAAAUCUAUCAAACUGCUCCUCACUACAAAAUGCAGCAUUUGAGAUCUGCAGUGGUGUGUGACAUUGUAAGCAGACUGCUCACAGGGUGAGAGUCCUUCCAGCUGCUCCAGUCCCUCAAUAAAGUGCUUUCCUGUAGAGAAAUGGAGUUAGAAACUCACCCCUGAGCCAGGAGUGACCCAAUAACCCAACAACUUCCAAAGGUAGGAGUGUUUAUUUCCAUAGAAUUAGGGCUGGAAAGCUUGAAGCUUUGCUCCUCAUGAAGCUUUGGUCCUUUGCAGGGCUCUGUUGGUUUUCCAGCUUCUCUCUAAGCCUUUCAUGGGCUCUCCCUGCCCUGGUAAAUCCCAGGGGUCCCAAAAGGCAUCUGCUGUUUUGGUCUCUGCCAAGAGCUCAGCAAACAAAGCUCUGUUCAGUCUGCAGCAGGGGAAGCUGUGCUGGCUGUUCCCCCAGCCUGAGGGGAUGGGGAGAACUCCCCUGAGCCCACCAGGACCCCCAGAGCUC
rnacentral:lncRNA from 1 species